GAUGAAGAACGUAGUGAAAUGCGAUAAGUAAUGUGAAUUGCAGAAUUCAGUGAAUCAUCGAAUCUUUGAACGCAACUUGCGCCCUCUGGUAUUCCGGAGGGCAUGCCUGUUUGAGUGUCAUGUAGACUCAAUCCCUCGGGUUUCUGAGGAGGUUGGAUUUGGGUGCUUGCCUUCUGGCUCGCCUUAAAGGACUUAGCAGGAUAGCACUGUAGUCGACGUAAUAAGUCUCGUCGGUGAAAGUGUGAUGUCUGCUUACAGAUUGCCCUUGGGCACUUUUGACUCUGACCUCAAAUCAGGUAGGACUACCCGCUGAACUUAAGCAUAUCAAUAAGCGGAGGA
rnacentral:misc_RNA from 1 species